rnacentral:rRNA from 1 species
UACAGAGGUCCCAAGCGUUGUUCGGAUUCAUUGGGCGUAAAGGGUGUGUAGGUGGCGCCGUAAGUGGGGUGUGAAAUCUCGGGGCUUAACUCCGAAACUGCAUUCGAUACUGCCGUGCUUGAGGACUGGAGAGGAGACUGGAAUUUACGGUGUAGCGGUGAAAUGCGUAGAUAUCGUAAGGAAGACCAGUGGCGAAGGCGGGUCUCUGGACAGUUCCUGACGCUGAGGCGCGAAGGCCAGGGGAGCAAACGGG